rnacentral:lncRNA from 1 species
AGCCUUCCUCCUGCUAGUUGGAUUUCUGUGUGCAGGAAGUUUGAGUCAAGAUCUGUUCAGUCACCUCCGUGCCCUACCUGGAAUCUGAACUGCUGUGGUCUGGAUUCAGGUUUCCUCUCUCCAUGUUGUACUUUUGGCAGACUAAGGUGCCUCUGCUGUUUCACAGCCCCCUCCUUGCAUUCAGAGUUUUUAUUCUAACCGGUCGUCUGUCCUCUUUAUUCAGGAAGAGGCUUCUCUGCAGAGGCGGCAACGGACGGCCAAGCAGGGCCUGGUGGGGAAGGUGGCUAGCUCCUACGCUGAGCUCUUUCAGAGGGAUCUCACCAGCACCUUGGCAGCCACCGGGCCUCACCCACGGUUUUUGGAACCUCCUCCAUCCUUCACCACCACCCAGUCCUCUGAAAGUUCGCUCAGCCCAGAUUCUGGUGCUCCAGACCGAAGAACGGGUAAAAUAAAAAGUCUGUCUUGCUCCAAGGAAUCUUAUGCAACAACUCGUCUUUCACUCUCCUCCUCUCUGGGAGCAUUUUCGUCCCGCAGAUCGUCUUCCCGGACACCCGUGGGCCCCUCGGUUCUGUCAGCUGAUGAAACAGAGGAUGAUCAAGGAGGCAGGAAAGAGCCAGACCGCCCUCCCGAGACCAAGGAGAAGAAGACUCCGAAGCACAAACCAGCUUCCCCGCACGUACCCCAAGUCGUCGUCCGCCCGGGCUCCGACACCAAGCCCGUCCUCCCGCCCAUCCCGUCAGGCCGGAAGAGACCCAAACCCCAGCCCUCUGAAAGCUUCCUUCCAGCCAUGAUACCGAACCCUUGGCCUUAGCCCUCCAAUCUCUCAAUCUCUCUCUCUCUGUCUCUGUUUCCUCUUUUCAAUGAGAAAUGGGUGGAGGCAAGUGCCUGUAAAUAGCUUAGACUGCUAACCUUCCCUGCCGUGUAGGCCACCAGGAAGGGCUCUUGAGGCAAAGAGGCCGUCCCAAUUAAGGUGUUGGCUUCUUUGGGGGGGGUAGGCGGGCACCUCUUUUCUAACAUGGCGUUCCUCUCGGGACCCUUGCCAGUGAAUGGGGGUCCAGUUUUUGUAACUUAACUUGUUACUUAAAUAUAUUCUCAGUUUCCUGACAGUUUGCAAAGCCCCUUUGGAAACAGGAAGAAUUUUUCUUCAGGCGUCACUUUUAUAGCCCCCCCCCCAAUACCAUCUGUACCACAAAGUGGAGGGCUAAUAUUCAAGCGACGGCAAGGUUACUUAGGGCUUGAUUCCCCCUCCUCCCCCGUAAGUGACAAAGUAGCCUAUUUUUGCACUCUAAAAUAAAUUAAGUGUGCCAUGUGACUACUGCA